CUUCAGCGACCCCAGCCACAACGGCUCAGCGCGAUCCUGGCCGUAGGUGGCGAGUACGGCCUGGGCCUC
rnacentral:antisense_RNA from 1 species